ensembl:misc_RNA 7SK 7SK RNA
GGAUGUGAGGGCAGUCUAUGACAUCUAUCAUUCCGUUGAUCUCCAGGAUUGAUUCAGUUUAUCUGGCUGGCUAAGCUGGUGUCCACUUUCCUUCACUGCUCCAUGUGUGUUCCUGAUGACGUUGUAUGCUGUAUUGAAGAGAACAGCUUUCCCCUAUUGAGGAAACUCAGUCUUUGGUCAAGGGUAUUUGAGUAGCUGCACCCCUUGUUAGAACCUCUAUACAUCCUUUGUAAUUCAUUUGUAGGAGAAUGCAGUCAAGCUUCCAAACUCCAGAUAUAAUCAAAUGUGGUUCUAUUUGUGGCGUCUGCCUUUCUUA